rnacentral:tRNA from 1 species
GAUCUAAUAGUUCAACUGAUAGAAUGCCAAUUUGGCAAUUUGGAAGCCGUUAGUUUGAACUCUACUGUGAUCC